GGAUUCAUACAAUUCGUGGAACAUGUGGUUUAAUUCGUAAAUACACGCAAAACCUUACCAACUUUUGAAUAAUUUUAUAUUCUAAUGAAGAAAUUCGUUAUGUUAAAAUUACAGGUGCUGCAUGGCUGUCGUCAGCUCGUGUCGUGAGAUGUUCGGUUAAGUCCGGCAACGAGCGCAACCCACAUCCCUAGUUGCCAGCAGUUCGGCUGGGCACUCUAUGGAAACUGCCCGUGAUAAGCGGGAGGAAGGUGUGGAUGACGUCAAGUCCUCAUGGCCCUUACGGGUUGGGCUACACACGUGCUACAAUGGUGGUGACAAUGGGUUAAUCCCAAAAGCUAUCUCAGUUCGGAUUGUCGUCUGCAACUCGACGGCAUGAAGUCGGAAUCGCUAGUAA
rnacentral:rRNA from 1 species